rnacentral:rRNA from 1 species
UACGUAGGGGGCAAGCGUUGUCCGGAAUCAUUGGGCGUAAAGCGCGUGUAGGCGGCCCGGUAAGUCCGCUGUGAAAGUCCAGGGCUCAACCCUGGAAUGCCGGUGGAUACUGUCGGGCUAGUGCGGAAGAGGUGAGUGGAAUUCCUGGUGUAGCGGUGAAAUGCGCAGAUAUCAGGAGGAACACCAAUGGCGAAGGCAGCUCGCUGGGACGGUACUGACGCUGAGGCGCGAAAGCGUGGGGGAGCAAACAGG